CGCUGCAAUUCCGAAUGACAUGACAAAACUGAUCUUUGCAUGCAUUGGUACAGUGUUCACACAUUUUGGCUUCUGGAUGAGUCGUCCGCUGCGCCGGUUGCCAAAAUCUUUAGUUGCGCACAUAAAACCUUUUGUAUUAUCUCACGUAGAACCAUGCCGAACAGAAAGCACGGCAUGUCGUUUACCUGCUUGUGGGCUGGCUGCCUCUUUGGCCACUGAUUCCAGCCACAGAGCGCCGGUUUAUGCUACUUUGGACAAACUGUUGGAGGCCCUGAAAGCCCUGAGAGAAGAGGAACUCCAUGUACCAGUUCCACUGCUUCGCCGCCUACAGACAGAAAGACAGACAGCUUUACAGACCAUCAACUACAUACAGGCCAUCCAGGCUGUGGCUCGCUGAUCAAUAGAAAUGAUCAUGAAAAAUGAAUGGCACACUUCAAACGCACAUCAGUGCACGUACAUGAAAAAAAAUGGAAGUAGUAAUAAGACUGUGGUACCUUUAUGGAAUUGAAGUCUAUGUCCUUCCUCUCUGGCCAACACUGAUAAAGAGAGAAUUAUUCAUAUUCAACAGUUACCCCCCUCAGUAGAACAGUAUACUGGGUGUUGAAGCAGUUUCGGACCAAAAGGUACUUGGAUUAUUUAACAUGAUGAAAACUCAAGUCUCGUGCAACACCCAUGAAUAAUAAACUGUGAUUCUGAUCUUCUAUGAAAUAUACAUUAAUACCACAUUCAUCCCCUUGUCCGACCUUAAACUUGAUUAACUCAACUGGAGAGGAUGGCUGCUCUCUUGAAGUUUGGAAAUUAGACUUCAUAUAUAAACUGAGCACAGGUAGCCUAGUGGUCAAAGCGUUGGGCCACUAACCGAGAGGUUGCUAGAUCGAAACCCCGAGAUGACGAGGUAAAAAUCUGUCGUUCUGCCCCUGAACAAGGCAGUUAACCCACUGUUCUUAGGCCGUCAUUGUAAAUAAGUAUUAGUUCUUAACUGACUUGCCUAGUUAAAUAAAGGUGAAAUAAAAUACAUUUAAAAAACA